rnacentral:misc_RNA from 1 species
CUGUUGUGUUCUGCGCAAAAAAAAAGGGGGCCAUCAGUGUGCGGGGACCUCUUCGCUCUCCUGUAGGCAUCUGGCCGCGCAUAUCCCGGGCGGCGGCGUUCGUUGGGCUCCCUCUUUUCUCGCUCAGGAGGCGUCGCAGGAGCCCGAGAGGAGGGGGAGGGAAGGGCAACGACCGCAAGCAUCGAAGAGGCUCGCUCGCACUUGCGCACAGACACACGUAGACAGCCACAAUGAUGCAGCUCGACUUCGUGCUGCACCGCUUUGUAUGCGACGUUCCCACCUUUACAGGGCUGUUUGCAGAGGAUGCGGAGGGGCGACACAUUCCCGAUGCGGCUUCCUUUCAGUGUAGCUGGGCCCGAACGUCACGCGCGCAGACCAGCUCAAGCGGCAGAUCGGCCUUGCACUGCGUGGAUGGCGCCACGGAAAACAUGCACUUUAAGGCGCUCGGCGACGACAUGGCGCUCAUGUUUGCGAAGGUGACGCAUCAGCUUAUCCUGGACGCUGAGCAGGACGUCAUCACAUUUGCCAUUCGCCCGUCACAGUAUAGCGCCGCUGGCCCGCUGCCCGUCGUGGCCAAGGGUGCCCUCGAUCCACGACCGUACUUUGGCAAACCCAUGAAGAACUACGCCAUCAAGCUGCGUGAUGCUGCCGGAGAAGUCACCGGAAAGCUGCUCUUCUCUCUGCGUGUGCACGAAAUCGAUGAAAAAUGGCAAAAGGUGCAGCGCGGCAACACCGUGUCCUCGACCGCAACGACGUCGCCGCCGCGCAGCAGCCCCCAUCGCGGCCAAAUAACUGUGGAGCGUGAUUCGUCGCGCGAUCGCCUGCUAAGGACGCCGCCGCGUAGCGAGCAGGUGGUGCACGUACACUCACAUGUGCUGGAAAGACAGAAGACAACGCUCUAUCAGCACCGCAUCAAAACAGCGCAGCUCUCCCAUCCACGAAGGGAGGGGUCACGGCACUUACAGCGAGAUUCCCGUCUUGUACGGCGCGUGGAAAUCCAGCUAGAGCGCGUUACGAUCAGGACAGAGAGCAUUGAUCUCGAUCACCCAGCACCGCUGCUGCUUGGCGGCGACUACAGCAUGAAAAUUCGCUACGGUUCCUACACCUACAGAACGACGCAGGCCGUUUGCUGCAAUCCCAAAGAGGUGAUGUUCAAGGCCGAGCAGGCUCGCAUCACGCUCCAGCCGGCUGACGGCGCGGAAAAGCUGCGAUUUUCACUCUGGGAGGACAAGCGCCAGGUCGCCGGCUUCUCCCUGGACCCCGCGAAGUUCCAGUCCGAGGUUGGCGAGUGGAAGGAGUACGCGAUUCCCUUCCGCUAUCACCCCACAGGGCAGCGUGCCGCCCUCGAUGUGCGCAUAUGCCGAGUGGAAACCGACAGCGGGAGCUCCCCGAGCAGCAGACGCUCGCCUUCUCUGCCAUCCGCGGCGCCGAACGCUUCUUCUGCCGCGGCUGCUGCUGUAGGCGUCGAUGCCACCGCGGCGUCACGAGCCGCUGCGCAGCAGUGGACGUAUGGAACCGAUCCGCCGGAUCGGUAUGCGGAGAAGGGCACGCACGGACAAACACCGCUGCGCUUCUCACCACCGCCAAAGCCUUAUGACGCGGUGAACCUCACUCCACAUGAUGUCCCGCUGGUGCACACUCGCUCGUCAUCGCACCGAGGAGGCUCCUCUCCACCAGGCUCCUUAAUUGUGGCCUCGGGACCGAUACCGCCACUAGACGCCAACCGCACGAGCACGCCGCUGCGCGGCUGUCAGGAAGCUGGAGCACGGGGCGGCUGGGAGCGCACCCCCAUGGGCGAGCGCCCUCCGCCGCUGACGUCGAAUCUUGCCGAUCUCCCAGCUGCUCGACGUCCACCCGAUGAGCACGAGGUGUACAUUGCAGAGGUGCUGCGCCGGCUCGAACGCCAGCAGCGGGCACCGCGGCAACCGACUUCACUCGUGGAGGAGUGGAUCGGCUGGCGCAACGAGCGCGAGCGAAGCCACGGCAACAGCAUCUCCAGCAUGUACCCGCGAUCGUCUUCCGUGAAGAGCGCGGCAAGCCGGGCAGACUCAAUGACGUCCGUGGUUUCGCGGCGUGCCUUGACGCCGCGGCCGACAAAGUCGAACGCCGAAAAAUCGUUCAUGACGCCCUUCACCCCGGACGCGAGUGCUCACCGUCGCCGCAGCUCGCGCCGGAGCCCGACCCCGCUUAACCCCCUUAUUUAGGUCUAUUGCAUGCGCAUAGAGGUAAAGGAAGCGUCUCUCUUUUGCUGUUGCUACCACCCCCCUCACCUUUUCUUUUUGGAUGGUGGGGAGAUGAGGGGGAGAGGGGCGCCGUGCCACGAAGAGGCUUUACUGGGCCGUUUUUUUUUCUGCUCUGCCCGGUGCGCGGUAUUUCCGUUUCCUUCCCCCUCUCCCCUCCCCGCCACGCAACCGGAGUCCCUCCGUCUAGGCUUUCUUUCGCGGCGACUAAAUACGCCCAUCACGAUUUGUUUGUGUGCGCUUUCCUCACACCGGGUGGGCGUUUGCGCAGGUGGGCGUCACGCCCGCAUGUAAGCGCGGCGCUGCAGAGAGGGCGAAUACAGCGGUGGGUGUCCCGGGGACUAUAGAGAUGCAACCGCAACUGCGACG